rnacentral:rRNA from 1 species
GGGUAGCGAAAAGGAUUAGAUACCCUUGUAGUCCUGGCAGUAAACGGUGCACGCUUGGUGUGGGAGGGUUCGACCCCUUCCGUGCCGGAGCUAACGCGUUAAGCGUGCCGCCUGGGGAGUACGGUCGCAAGAUUAAAACUCAAAGAAAUUGACGGGGACCCGCACAAGCGGUGGAGCAUGUGGCUUAAUUCGAUGCAACGCGAAGAACCUUACCUGGGCUUGACAUGUUAGUCGUAGAUUUGUGAAAGCUUAUCGUCACUUCGGGUGGACUAUCACAGGUGCUGCAUGGCUGUCGUCAGCUCGUGUCGUGAGAUGUCAGGUUAAGUCCUAUAACGAGCGCAACCCCUAUGAACUGUUGCCAGCGGAUAAUGCCGGGGACUCUGUUCAGACUGCCCAGAUUAACUGGGAGGAAGGAGGGGAUGACGUCAAGUCAGUAUGGCCCUUACGCCCAGGGCUGCACACGUGCUACAAUGUCCAGUACAAUGUGAACCGAGACCGCGAGGUGGAGGAAAUCUUGAAAACUGGGCUCAGUUCGGAUUGUAGGCUGCAACUCGCCUACAUGAAGUUGGAAUCGCUAGUAAUGGUGCAUCAGCUACGGCACCGUGAAUACGUUCCCGGGUCUUGUACACACCGCCCGUCACAUCAUGGAAGCCGCUCGCACCCGAAGUAUCUUCAUUAAGGAGGUCCUAAGGUGUAGGUGGUAACUGGGAUGAAGUCGUAACA